AGUGGAAUUGCUGGGUAAUAUGGUAAGACAAAGUUUAACUUUUUGAGAAACUGCCAGACCAUUUUCCAGAGUGACUAUAUUAUUUUACAUACCCACAGCAAU
rnacentral:pre_miRNA from 1 species